CAAGCGUUGAUCUCCAAUCCUUCUUUCUUCCUCUUCAAAUCUUUCCCCCUAUAUUCCCAAUGUCGAUUAAUAUCUACCUAUCAAACUCACAUCCAGCAAUUAUCUUCUAUUGCAAGCCCAACUCAUGCCGUUACUUCAUGGCUAUAAUUUGGCAACUCAUUUUUCUGUAUCCUUAACUCCACCUGCAUCCACUAUUGACCACAACACACCAAAUCAUGCCUAUUAAAAAUGGUUCCGUCAAGACCAGCUGGUCCUCAGUUGUUUUGUUCUAUUUCUGAGCCACUCCUUCCUCAAUAAUUGGGUUUCCUACAGCAAAGGUUGCUUGGCAAAAUCUUACAGCUAUGUUUUCCACUGGUUCAUGAACACAGAUCAUGCAACUACUGACACAACUCAAAACACCUCAAAAAGGGAUCAAAUUCCAUUGAUAAUUACAUGAAGAAGGCCAAUUCUAGGCAAUUAGCGGCUCUUCAAUGUCCAAUUUCAAAAGAAUCUCUUGCUAGUGAUUUCAUGGAUGGCCUUGACUCAGUUUAUCGGCCUUUCGUCCUAGCCAUUGAGGAUUUCAAUUCUCCUAUUUCUCGGGAUGACCUUUAUGCUUCACUACUAAGCAAAGGAGAAAAUAUCCAUCGACUCACUUGUGCCACCAAUGGCACAACAUGCUGACAAAUCACCCACCAGCAAAGGCCAAAAAACCAAUAGAGGACGUGGCAAAAAU
rnacentral:misc_RNA from 1 species